UACAGAGGUCUCGAGCGUUAGGCGGAAUCACUGGGCUUAAAGCGUGUGUAGGCGGAUCGUUAAGUGCCUUGUGAAAUCCCACGGCUCAACCGUGGAACUGCUUGGCAUACUGGCGGUCUUGAGCAACCUAGGGGCAAGCGGAACAAAUGGUGGAGCGGUGAAAUGCGUAGAUAUCGUAAGGAAGACCAGUGGCGAAGGCGGGUCUCUGGACAGUUCCUGACGCUGAGGCACGAAGGCCAGGGGAGCAAACGGG
rnacentral:rRNA from 1 species